rnacentral:rRNA from 1 species
CACGCCGUAAACGAUGGAUGCUAGCUGUUAGGAGUAUCGACCCUUCUAGUAGCGAAGCUAACGCGUUAAGCAUCCCGCCUGGGGAGUACGGUCGCAAGAUUAAAACUCAAAGGAAUUGACGGGGACCCGCACAAGUGGUGGAGCGUGUUCUUUAAUUCGAAGUUAAGCGAAGAACCUUACCAGGGCUUGACAUCCCGAGAAUUUCUGCGAAAGCAGAGAGUGCCUUUAUUGGAAUUCGGUGACAGGUGU